rnacentral:rRNA from 1 species
GGUGAGUAACACGUGAGCAACCUGCCCUGGACUCUGGGAUAAGCGCUGGAAACGGCGUCUAAUACUGGAUAUGAGCCUCUUCCGCAUGGUGGGGGUUGGAAAGAUUUUUCGGUCUGGGAUGGGCUCGCGGCCUAUCAGCUUGUUGGUGAGGUAAUGGCUCACCAAGGCGUCGACGGGUAGCCGGCCUGAGAGGGUGACCGGCCACACUGGGACUGAGACACGGCCCAGACUCCUACGGGAGGCAGCAGUGGGGAAUAUUGCACAAUGGGCGGAAGCCUGAUGCAGCAACGCCGCGUGAGGGAUGACGGCCUUCGGGUUGUAAACCUCUUUUAGCAGGGAAGAAGCGAGAGUGACGGUACCUGCAGAAAAAGCGCCGGCUAACUACGUGCCAGCAGCCGCGGUAAUACGUAGGGCGCAAGCGUUAUCCGGAAUUAUUGGGCGUAAAGAGCUCGUAGGCGGUUUGUCGCGUCUGCUGUGAAAUCCCGAGGCUCAACCUCGGGCCUGCAGUGGGUACGGGCAGACUAGAGUGCGGUAGGGGAGAUUGGAAUUCCUGGUGUAGCGGUGGAAUGCGCAGAUAUCAGGAGGAACACCGAUGGCGAAGGCAGAUCUCUGGGCCGUAA